rnacentral:rRNA from 1 species
AUUGAACGCUGGCGGCAGGCCUAACACAUGCAAGUCGAGCGAGCGGCGGACGGGUGAGUAAUGUCGGGGAAACUGCCUGAUGGAGGGGGAUAACUACUGGAAACGGUAGCUAAUACCGCAUACCAUCAGAUGUGCCCAGAUGGGAUUAGCUCGUAGGUGGGGUAAUGGCUCACCUAGGCGACGAUCCCUAGCUGGUCUUAGAGGAUGACCAGCCACACUGGAACCUAGACACGGUCCAGACUCCUACGGGAGGCAGCAGUGGGGAAUAUGGCACAAUGGGCGCAAGCCUGAUGCAGCCAUGCCGCGUGUGUGAAGAAGGCCUUCGGGUUGUAAAGCACGUUCAGCGAGGAGGCGUUACUCGCAGAAGAAGCACCGGCUAACUCCGUGCCAGCAGCCGCGGUAAUUC